CCAACUCUCUCUCUUUAUCCAGGCGCCGUUUGCUGUUGACGUACUCAACCAGCGGUGCUUCCCAAAUCUGUUUAAAUCCUUCAUUUCGAAGGAUCAUCGGCAUCUGAAACUUCACAAAUCUAUUUUAUAAGUUUUAAUAGAUAGAAUUGUAGGAUGAGGGAUAAGUGGCGCAAGAAACGUAUGCGACGCCUGAAGCGUAAGAGGAGAAAGAUGCGUGCCAGAUCCAAGUAGACUGCCACCGGAAACAUCCACUCUCUUACGGGCAUCGCACUCUUGCUGUGGAACAAGAACUUCAGACGUUCUACCCAAUCUGCUUCUCCUACAUGUAUCAUUUGGACAUCCCAGAAGAGUCUAUCCUCUGUACAUCACCAAGUGCAUCAUGCAGGUUCACCUCAAGGUCCCAUCUGAUCAAUCCGGAUGUCUUUUGCUGCGUCCUUGAAGUCAACUGGUUCUUGUAAUGAAAGCUGUUGACGACCUCGUCUACGCUGCUCUGGAUUUGAAAGAUUGAUGGACUGGGACUCACCUGCUAUACAAACGCUUUCCUGAUAUCUUUAGCUCCAACAUUCCAUCUGAAAAUACAGAUCACGAUGUAUUCUUCAACAAAUUCAUCUACUAUGCUAGAUUGCAGUGCCCGUUGUGGUUGUUUUUAUUACAUACUAGUACAUUAUUCACUCAAAAACUGUUCUGGUGUAUCAGCCUGUAAUAAAUCUUUUCCAUUACGUUUCAAAA